rnacentral:rRNA from 1 species
AAAGAAAGCGUAAUAGCUCACUGGUCGAGUCGGCCUGCGCGGAAGAUGUAACGGGGCUAAACCAUGCACCGAAGCUGCGGCAGCGACACUAUGUGUUGUUGGGUAGGGGAGCGUUCUGUAAGCCUGUGAAGGUGUGCUGUGAGGCAUGCUGGAGGUAUCAGAAGUGCGAAUGCUGACAUAAGUAACGAUAAAGCGGGUGAAAAGCCCGCUCGCCGGAAGACCAAGGGUUCCUGUCCAACGUUAAUCGGGGCAGGGUGAGUCGACCCCUAAGGCGAGGCCGAAAGGCGUAGUCGAUGGGAAACAGGUUAAUAUUCCUGUACUUGGUGUUACUGCGAAGGGGGGACGGAGAAGGCUAUGUUGGCCGGGCGACGGUUGUCCCGGUUUAAGCGUGUAGGCUGGUUUUCCAGGCAAAUCCGGAAAAUCAAGGCUGAGGCGUGAUGACGAGGCACUACGGUGCUGAAGCAACAAAUGCCCUGCUUCCAGGAAAAGCCUCUAAGCAUCAGGUAACAUUAAAUCGUACCCCAAACCGACACAGGUGGUCAGGUAGAGAAUACCAAGGCGCUUGAGAGAACUCGGGUGAAGGAACUAGGCAAAAUGGUGCCGUAACUUCGGGAGAAGGCACGCUGAUAUGUAGGUGAAGUCCCUCGCGGAUGGAGCUGAAAUCAGUCGAAGAUACCAGCUGGCUGCAACUGUUUAUUAAAAACACAGCACUGUGCAAACACGAAAGUGGACGUAUACGGUGUGACGCCUGCCCGGUGCCGGAAGGUUAAUUGAUGGGGUUAGCGGUAACGCGAAGCUCUUGAUCGAAGCCCCGGUAAACGGCGGCCGUAACUAUAACGGUCCUAAGGUAGCGAAAUUCCUUGUCGGGUAAGUUCCGACCUGCACGAAUGGCGUAAUGAUGGCCAGGCUGUCUCCACCCGAGACUCAGUGAAAUUGAACUCGCUGUGAAGAUGCAGUGUACCCGCGGCAAGACGGAAAGACCCCGUGAACCUUUACUAUAGCUUGACACUGAACAUUGAGCCUUGAUGUGUAGGAUAGGUGGGAGGCUUUGAAGUGUGGACGCCAGUCUGCAUGGAGCCGACCUUGAAAUACCACCCUUUAAUGUUU